AGGUGGGGAUUGGUGGCAUUAC
rnacentral:miRNA from 1 species